rnacentral:rRNA from 1 species
GACGAACGCUGGCGGCGUGCCUAAUACAUGCAAGUCGAACGCAGUGGGGACGGGUGAGUAACACGUGGGUAACCUCCCAUCAGAGGGGAUAACACUUGGAAACAGGUGCUAAACCGACCCUGAUGGAUGGACCCGCGGUGCAUUAGCUAGUCGGUGGGGUAAAGGCCCACCAAGGCCACGAUGCAUCCCCGACCUGAGAGGGUGAUCGGCAAGCCUGGGACGGAGAAACGGCCAAGAUUCCUACGGGAGGCAGCAGUAGGGAAGCUUCGGCAAUGGACGAAAGUCUGACCGAGCAACGCCGCGUGAGUGAAGAAGGUUUUCGGAUCGUAAAACUCUGUUGUUAGAGAAGCGGUAUCUAACCAGAAAGCCACGGCUAACUACGUGCCAGCAGCCGCGGUAAUUC